UACGUAGGGUGCAAGCGUUAAUCGGAAUUACUGGGCGUAAAGCGUGCGCAGGCGGUUAUGUAAGACAGUUGUGAAAUCCCCGGGCUCAACCUGGGAACUGCAUUUGAGACUGCAUGGCUAGAGUAUGGAAGAGGGAAGUGGAAUUUCCGGUGUAGCGGUGAAAUGCGUAGAUAUCGGAAGGAACACCAGUGGCGAAAGCGACUUCCUGGUCCAAUACUGACGUUCAUGUGCGAAAGCGUGGGGAGCAAACAGG
rnacentral:rRNA from 1 species